rnacentral:rRNA from 1 species
GCCAGACUCCUACGGGAGGCAGCAGUGGGGGAUAUUGCACAAUGGGGGAAACCCUGAUGCAGCGACGCCGCGUGAGUGAAGAAGUAUUUCGGUAUGUAAAGCUCUAUCAGCAGGGAAGAAAAAAGACGGUACCUGACUAAGAAGCCCCGGCUAACUACGUGCCAGCAGCCGCGGUAAUACGUAGGGGGCAAGCGUUAUCCGGAUUUACUGGGUGUAAAGGGAGCGUAGACGGCAAUACAAGUCGGAAGUGAAAUACCCGGGCUCAACCUGGGAACUGCUUUGGAAACUGUAUGGCUGGAGUGCUGGAGAGGUAAGCGGAAUUCCUAGUGUAGCGGUGAAAUGCGUAGAUAUUAGGAGGAACACCAGUGGCGGAGGCGGCUUACUGGACAGUAACUGACGUUGAGGCUCGAAAGCGUGGGGAGCAAACAGGAUUAGAUACCCCAGUACCU